rfam:Bombyx mori DNA, contig: Bm_scaf5_contig4342, strain: p50T/Dazao, build 2, whole genome shotgun sequence.
UUUACUGAGAUAUGUAUGCAAUUGGAACGUUAGCCUACGUUUGCCGCUAGGGGCGUUGUUCCAACUGCGUACAAAUUCGAAUUA